rnacentral:rRNA from 1 species
AUUUAUUGGUACCUUKUGUAUCAGGGUUGAUUAACCUACUCUUAAAGAUUUGAGUUUCCCGAAAUUAAAAGGGCUAAAAAAGUAUUUAUUUUUACUGUUGAAUAAGUAUUUAGAAUACUUUUAUAGUAAUGAAACGUUAUUCGUUUUUAAUUAUAUCUGGUUAUUUAGGAGGUAAAUUUAAUUUAUUCUUUAAUUUAAAUGUUUACAAUUUUUUGUUUAUUUUUACUUAAGGUUAAAGGUUCAGGGGGAUAAGCUUCUGAAUUUUUUUAAAAGUUGAAUUAAUUAAGUGGUUUAUAGGAUUAGAAUUUUCCAUUAGUUUAAGGAUGUUAUAAUUUACUACUUUAUUUUAUUAUUUUUAUUAGCUUUAAUUUUUCACUAAAUUGUUGGUUUUAGUUCAUUAAACUGUGUAAUAAUGAUUAAAUUCGUAUAAGGGAUUUGUAAUCUUA